UGUUGGAUGAAUUGUUUGGAGUUUUGAAGGUGAUUAGAGCACAAAAGGAUCUUUCGAGGAGUCUUGAACCAAACGUGUGAAAGACAAGCAUGGAUGAAGGUCUUAAAGAUAUCUUUUGAAAUUUGUCUUUUGAGAAGACAUGGUAAAUUGAGUUAGCUUUACAAUUGAGGUGGUUUCAAGUCGUUUGGAGCUGUGUUGAGGGAUUUAUGAUCAAAAUACUACCACAUAUCAGUAUGACAUUCCUAGCGGCCACCCUAGCAACGUCAACAAUAGCCUUCGAAUUUUAAGCCUUUAG
rnacentral:lncRNA from 1 species